UACAGAGGGUGCUAGCGUUGUUCGGAAUCAUUGGGCGUAAAGGGCGUGUAGGCGGUUUGUUAAGUCAUGUGUGAAAUCCCUCGGCUCAACCGGGGAACGACGCAUGAAACUGGCAAGCUAGAGUACCAAAGAGGGGGGUGGAAUUCCUGGUGUAGCGGUGAAAUGCGCAGAUAUCAGGAGGAACACCGGUGGCGAAGGCGGGUCUCUGGGCCGUAACUGACGCUGAGGAGCGAAAGCAUGGGGAGCGAACAGG
rnacentral:rRNA from 1 species